GCCAAGAUGGCCGAGUGGUUAAGGCGAUGGUUUUAAGUUAUUCUUGAACACCAUUAUCGAGAGAUUCCAGGGUUCGAACCCCUGUCUUGGCA